ACGAACCGUGCAAACGUUAUUCGGAAUCACUGGGCUUAAAGGGCGCGUAGGCGGGUGAUCAAGUCAAUGGUGAAAUCCUCCAGCUUAACUGGAGAAGUGCCUUUGAUACUGAUUGUCUAGAGGGAGGUAGGGGCAUGUGGAACUUCAGGUGGAGCGGUGAAAUGCGUAGAUAUCUGAAGGAACGCCAGUGGCGAAAGCGAUGUGCUGGACCUCUUCUGACGCUGAGGCGCGAAAGCUAGGGGAUCAAACGGG
rnacentral:rRNA from 1 species